UCUGCCUCCCCCCCUUCUCUUUCUCUCUUGAAACCCAGUUCUCACUCUCUCUAGUCUCUCCCUCCUUCAGAGUGCCUUUCCUCCUCCUCCUCCUCCUCUCAUGCCAGCCCUCUCUGCCUGACUCCCCUAUUGUUAUUGCUGGGAGCUGGCAGCCAAGGGGUAGCAGCAGUGGCAGCAGGGAGGCAUGUGGCUGAGGAGCUGGAGGGAGCCUGUUGUUGCUAGGAGACCGCAGAGCUGCAAGGUGAACACACUGCCGUCCUUCCUUCCUUCCUCCAAUGCUGCUGCUGCUGCUGCUGCCUCUCCCUGCGGCUGGAUUCCUACUCUGAGUCUGCUGCUCCUUUGGGGCACUUGAGCAUAAGAUGACUACGUUUGCAGCCAUCUGGUUCUCUCUGUUCCUUGCUGCAGUGGGCAGUGUAACAAGUAUGGCAUCCAUUACAUAAUCUGCAUGGGACUAGAUGGUACUACAGCAACACACGUGAUCAAGUACCAAGUGUCCAGAGGAGGGUGACAGAAGAUAAUGAAAGGCCAGAAGAACACAUCCGGUGAGAUGACCGAUUCCCAGCAGGUCUUCCUUGCAAUAAGAAAUAUAUAUCAACAAAGAUCGUGAAUAUCUGUCUCUCAAGAUCUGCAAACAUUGCCAGGAUGAGUAAUUCAUGAAUCAUUUCUAGGCAUGAUUCAACAAAUCAGGUUGCUAAAAUUACGAGUCAUGAAAGUGAUUAUUGCUUUGGCUGAGGGGAAAAAAAACAGGAUCCUACAACCCUUUUUGUUUGAUAUGUUGUGUUGGCACACUAGGAAGCUUUGGAGCUGUGUAGAAGAUGUCCCUUGCGUAGUUGCAGUUUUGUAUACAGCAAGACACAAAUUCAACCUCUGAUUUUUCCCAAAUGAAUUAUGUGUAGUGGGGCUGAAAAAUGAUUGUGUCUGACAAUCUGCAGAACAGUGAGAAAUAGAUGGAGAUGGACAAGAUCUGGCUGUGAAGUAUGUGCAGCAAUUUCAGCCCAAUAUGGUUCAGGACUAUCUUUCAGACACGUUAAAUCAUAAUGGCUAUUCCCAUAUGAAUUAGGAAAAGGUAAGAAUAUGAUAAUGGUAAUCUUUACCUGUUUGAGGUGCAAUCUAUAGCUGCACAAACAUGGUGAUCUCCACAAGUCUCCCCCUCCAGUGAUAAGAGCAUUAUAUUGCUGCAGUCUCCAGCAAGUGAAUAGCCCUAACCUUCCUUGUAUUAGUUCAGAAACAAAACCCUGGCCAUGCC